CGAGCUCCUCGCAAUUUGUAGGUCACAAAGUUCCGAGUGACCGCUGGUGUAGAGUGUAAGACACUAUCACUUGCAGGCCACACACACACACACAUGCGCACACACAAACAAGAGGUGCAUACCUGUGCACACACUCCUCCCCUCAUUUAAAAUUCAACUACGGCAAUACUAAAAAAAAAAAAUUUUUUAAAAAGGGACCUUUGUUCAUGUUUAAAUGGAGGGUGAGCGUCUUAUUUUUGUGAUUUCGAGACAUAAUAUUCCAAGCUAACAUUAGCUUUGAAUUAGCGCGGGAUCUUCACCCACCUUGGCCCGUGACGGCCGCAGCUAGCGCGUGGCCGAGUAGUAAGCGUCUUGACAAUAGCAAGUGCCUUCUUUAAACAUGGAUGAGGCCACCCCGCCGUAUUUUGCUCCACUCGCCUUAGAGAAGCAGCUCGGGUCCGUGUCAAUAAUUCAACAAGGCGAGUAGAAGAAGCUUGAACGUCCAAAGAGGGACGGUGAAACGGGAACACAUUUUAAACGUGGAACUGAGGUGUGCUAUUCUAUACUCUUCUUCUGGAGUUGGUAUUUUCUGCACGGCUGUGCAACCAUGCUAAGCCACAAAGCCACUCAGGACAGACAUUCAUCGGCGGGGCCGCCAGAUGAUAGAUGCUGCUCACCGCCGCUCCGGCAGCCGGUUAAGCCUCAGAUGAUGCCUCAUGCAUACAGAUAUCACCGGGCUACCAAGGGCUUGGGUGUGCGCUGGUGUGUGUCGGAGAACAUGCGCACACACACAGUCCAAAUGUGGAACUCAACCAAAAUUUUCCUGGAAAUAAAAUUGUUCCAUCAAAAUCA